rnacentral:rRNA from 1 species
CACGGGGGUUGGAGGGCAAGUCUGGUGCCAGCAGCCGCGGUAAUUCCAGCUCCAAUAGCGUAUAUUAAAGUUGUUGCAGUUAAAAAGCUCGUAGUUGAAUUUCGGGAUCAAAUUGUCGGUCGUGCCUCGGUACGUACUGGCGUUAUUGGUUCCUCCCUUCUGAAGAACCGCGAUGUCAUUAAUUUGGUGUCGCGGGAAAUCAGGACUGUUACUUUGAAAAAAUUAGAGUGUUUAAAGCAGGCUCGCGCUUGAAUACAUUAGCAUGGAAUAAUGAAAUAGGACGUUUGAUUCUAUUUUGUUGGUUUCUAGGAUCGACGUAAUGAUUAAUAGGGAUAGUUGGGGGCAUUAGUAUUCAAUUGUCAGAGGUGAAAUUCUUGGAUUUAUUGAAGACUAACUACUGCGAAAGCAUUUGCCAAGGAUGUUUUCAUUAAUCAAGAACGAAAGUUAGGGGAUCGAAGACGAUCAGAUACCGUCGUAGUCUAACCAUAAACUAUGCCGACUAGGAUCGG